rnacentral:rRNA from 1 species
AUUCCAGCUCCAAUAGCGUAUAUUAAAGUUGUUGCAGUUAAAAAGCUCGUAGUUGGAUUUCUGGUAGAAGUAGCGACCUUGGGUCUUUGACCUAUGAAGUUGCUAUCUUCAACCAUCCUUGAAGAGAUUUAGUUUGGCAUUAAGUUGUCGAACUAAAGAUAUUCAUCUUUUACUGUGAAAAAAUCAGAACGUUCAAAGCAAGCAUUUAGCUUUGAAUGUAUUAGCAUGGAAUAAUGAAAUAGGACUUAGGUACUACUUUGUUGGUUUAUGCACCUAGGUAAUGAUUAAUAGGGAUAGUUGGGGGUAUUCGUAUUCCAAUGUUAGAGGUGAAAUUCUUGGAUUUUUGGAAGACGAACAACUGCGAAAGCAUUUACCAAGGAUGUUUUCAUUA